GACGAACGCUGGCGGCGUGCUUAACACAUGCAAGUCGAACGGUGAAGCGCCUUCCUUUUUGGUGGGUGUGGAUGAGUGGCGAACGGGUGAGUAACACGUGAGUAACCUGCCCCCUUCUUCUGGAUAACCGCAUGCAAGUGUGGCUAAUACGGGAUAUUCUGGGUCUGUCGCAUGAUGGGUCUGGGAAAGAUAUUGUUUCGGUGGGGGAUGGGCUCGCGGCCUAUCAGCUUGUUGGUGGGGUGAUGGCCUACCAAGGCGGUGACGGGUAGCCGGCCUGAGAGGGUGGACGGUCACACUGGGACUGAGACGCGGCCCAGACUCCUACGGGAGGCAGCAGUGGGGAAUAUUGCACAAUGGGCGCAAGACUGAUGCAGCGACGCCGCGUGAGGGAUGGAGGCCUUCGGGUUGUGAACCUCUUUCGCCAGUGAAGCAGGACUGCCUCGUUUGUGGGUGGGUUGACGGUAGCUGGAUAAGAAGCGCCGGCUAACUACGUG
rnacentral:rRNA from 1 species